ACAGGUAUAAGAAUGGCAGUGGAGUAAUCAGGAGGGCCUUUGAUAAUGAUGCUUCCUGUUUGUCCAAAACAAGAGUACUCAUGCAGCAGGAAAGUUGAAAAGGCGCGGGAUGAGGGCUUCAGGGCUGACUGCCGAGCCCCCUCCAGUCGCGGCAGAGCUCACCGCAUCGCCUUCCGCGAACUGGAGCCUCCCGGCGCUCCCUCCCGGCCCAGAUAGAGGCACGACCCAGACGGUUCAGCAGGGCGAUCUCAGGGCGACAGGCAGAAGCCGCCCUUGUCCCUCCAGCGAGCGCAGCGCAGGCAGGACAUCCCGUCUGACCACGCGCCUCUGCAGAUGGCUAAGAAUAUGGAUUUUGUCACAAGAAGAUGGUUCUACCUACCACUGGGCUGCAUGAUGCUGAUCAGUGAGAUUAAUGCUGAUUUUGAAUUUCAAAAGGGGGUGCUUGCCAGCAACAGCCCAGGGAUCAUGGAAGACAUUGAUCUCCAGUGCUGGAACGCUUGCUCUUUGACAUUGAUAGAUCUCAAGGAACUCAAGAUAGACCACGAUGUGGAUGCUUUCUGGAAUUUCAUGUUGUUCCUGCAAAAAUCCCAGUGGCCGAGACAUUAUAAUGUCUUCUUAAGCAUAGCUCAGGAUUUCUGGGAUAUGUAUGUAGACUGCUUGCUUUCAAGAUCUCAUGGAAUGGGCAGAAGACAGGUGAUGCCUCCCAAGUAUAAUUUUCCACAGAAGAUUACAGGAGGACUGGAUUUUAACAAAACGUGAGUUUUACAUUUAAGAGAACAGAGAAAAUACCUCAAGCAAGAUGACACCAACCUGAAAAUUUAACUCUGGGUCCCAUGAGCCCCAGGUCAAGAAGCUCCAAUAUUAAAGGAUGAAUGGACUGCAUAGCUUUCAGAUGCUACUGUCCUCACAGUCGGGAUCAUGAAAAAUUCCUGGAGGAAUGUGAGUCGGGAGAGGAGGAGUCAGGGAAGGAGGGAGGAGAGAGCAGGAGAGGGUGGGGUGAUGGAGCCUUUGUUUAUCUGAUAAUAAAGGUGGAUUCUAUGCAUGUCUUCCCAACUCUGCACUUAGUAGCACCAUGUUGCUAGCUUGAAAUUAGUCAUAGUGGGAGUAUUUAUACCAUGCAAAUUGCCAAGCAUUACAAAUGAGGGCUUUUUUCCCUUGAAGAGCUGGUGGUUAUACAUUUAGCACCAGUAUACUGCACCCGAUAGGCCUAGAGUCUAGACUCAAAUUCCAUUGUAUUUUCCUGUCUGAGAAAACAGGUUCUUGUCUCUCCCGGCCUUGGACAUGAACUCAACUUUACAGCUUCCUGGGUGGAUAAGGGGGUGGAUGGGCAUAGAGACAGGCUGUGGAAGCCUCAUAGCAGCACACAG